AGCCAAAUCCCAAAGCAAAAUCAUCCCAUCUUUUCCACCACUAGCGCACAGAGAACCAUCCGGCGACACUGCAACGGUGUUCACAUAGCCACCGUGUCCGGCCAAAGUUGAUCUGAGCUUACAGUUAGUCAAAUUCCAGAUCUUCACAGUUUUGUCCCAUGAGGCUGAGACAAUUGUUGGCUGCAAAGUGUUGGGGCUGAAACGAACACAACUUACCCAAUCACUGUGAGCGUCGCCGUCUUGGAUUGUGUAUUUGCAUUCUCCGAGUGUGUUCCACAGUUUGAUCGACUUGUCACGGGAUGCAGAGACGAUCUGACGGUUGUCGAUCGAGAAUGCGACGGAAAGGACGUCUUUGGUGUGGCCAACGAAGCGGCGUGCGGUGGUUCCGGCGUUGAGAUCCCAGAGACGGAGUUCUCCGUCCCAUGAACCUGAGAGAGCAAACUGACCGUCGGAGGAGAGAACGACGUCUUGAACAAAGUGAGAGUGGCCGGUGAGACGGCGCUGUGCGACACCAUAGGUUUUGUCUUCCUUAGUGAGGCGCCAAACGAUGAUUGAUUUGUCACGAGAAGAGGUGACGAUCAUGUCGGAGUUGUCGAUUGGGGUGGCGAUUGCGGUGACCCAAUCGGUGUGGGCCCUC
rnacentral:lncRNA from 1 species